GUAAGUCUGGUUAACAUCUGUCACCAUUCAUAGUUAUAACAAAUUUUUUUCUUGUGAUGAGCAGUUUUAAGAUUUACUCCAUUAGCAACUUUAAACUGUAGAGUAUUACUAAGUAUAGUCACCAUGCCAUAUAUUAUAUCCCCAUGACUUAAAAAAUGGACCUUUUUGACUUUCUUCACUCAUUUCAUUCCACCCUCACUUCCACUUCUGCCUCUGGAAAACACCAGUCAUGUUAUAUUUAUCAUAGAGCUUGUCUUUAUAUAAGCUUCCCCCCUUCCCUGGUUCCGUAUAUAAGUGAUAUCAUUUCUUUUUCUUACUUCACUUUGCAUAAUACCCAGAAGUCCAUCCAUGUUUUUGGAGAUGGUAAGAUUUCAUAAUUUUUUAUGGAGCCUCCAUGCUGUUUUCCAUAGUGGCUGCAUCAAUUUAUAUUCCCACCAACAGUGCACAAGGGUUCCCUUUUCUCUACAUCCUUACUAGCAUUUAUUAUUUAUUGUCUCUUUGGUGAUAUGGCCAUUCUAACAGGUGUGAAGUGGUAGCUCUUUGUGGUUUUUAUUUGCAUUUCCCUAAUUGUUAGUCAUGUUGAGCAUCUUCUCAUGUACCUGUUGGCCAUUUAUAUGUCUUUGAAAAAAUGUCUGUUCAGAUCAUAUGCCCAUUUUUAAGUUGGAUUUUUUAAUAUUUAAUUUUAUUAAUUAUAUAUUUUAGGUAUUAAUCUAUUAUUAGUAUGUCACUUGCAGAUAUUUUUCCCUAUUUAAGUAGGAUGCUUUUUCAUUUUGUUUAUGGUUUCCUUUACUGUGUAAAAGUUAUUCAGUUUAAUGUAGUCCUACUUGUUUAUUUUUUGCUUUUAUUGCCUGCCUUUGCUUUUGGUGUCAGAUUUUAAAAAAUCAUUGCCAAUCCCUAUGUCAUAGAGCUUAUUGCUUAUGUUUUCUUCUAGGAGUUUUAUGAUUUAGGUCAUAAUACAUUUUGAGUUGAUCUUUGUGUAUAGUGUGAGAUAGUGGUUGCGUUUCCUUUCUUUUGCAUGUGACUAUAUGUGGCUGUUUAGUUUUCCCAACAGCAUUUAUUGAAGAAAAUUUCCAUCCUUUAUGGUAGACUAAUUGACCAUAGAAGUGUGGGUUUAUUUCUGGGUUCUCUAUUUGUUUCAUUUGUUUUGUGCCUGUAUUGUACUUUUUUGAUUACUAUAGCUUUAUAAUGUAUUUUGAAAUCAAGGAGCAUGAUACCUCUAGCUUUGCUUUCUUCUCAAGAUUGCUUUGACUAUUUAGAAUCUUUUUUGGUUUCAUACACAUUUUAGGAUUAUUUGUUGUAUUUCUGUAAAAAUGCCACUGGAAUUUUGAUGGAUAAAGCACAGAAUCUGUGGAUUGUCUUGGAUAGAGCCGUAAUUUUUAACUAGGUGCGUGCCAUUUUGAAAUAGCAAACAUUUUCAUUUUUAUGCAAUCUCAAUAAUUUUAGAUUUCUCAGUAUUCAUUGAACAGAUUUGUUGACUGUGAUACCUUACUGAUAUUGAAGUUUUCACAUGGAAAUAACUGUAGGAUGUAAGACUACUAUAAUUUUGAGAACAAAUUUAAAUAUUUUUAGUGGGCAAAAGCUUUCAAUUUGAGAAAAUAAAUUUUUCUGUCUGCUUGGGAAAAUAUUUAUGGGGAUUUUUGUAUAGAAUAAGAGAUGUAUAUGUAGUAUAUAUGUAUUUCUAACUCAGAUUUACUCCAGUUAUUUACACAUUUAGGCAAGAAGAGGGAGCUCUGG
ensembl:lncRNA